AUUGAACGCUGGCGGCAGGCUUAACACAUGCAAGUCGAGCGGAGAUGAGGUGCUUGCACCUUAUCUUAGCGGCGGACGGGUGAGUAAUGCUUAGGAAUCUGCCUAUUAGUGGGGGACAACAUUCCGAAAGGAAUGCUAAUACCGCAUACGUCCUACGGGAGAAAGCAGGGGAUCUUCGGACCUUGCGCUAAUAGAUGAGCCUAAGUCGGAUUAGCUAGUUGGUGGGGUAAAGGCCUACCAAGGCGACGAUCUGUAGCGGGUCUGAGAGGAUGAUCCGCCGCACUGGGACUGAGCCACGGCCCAGACUCCUACGGGAGGCAGCAGUGGGGAAGAUUGGACAAUGGGGGGAACCCUGAUCCAGCCAUGCCGCGUGUGUGAAGAAGGCCUUAUGGUUGUAAAGCACUUUAAGCGAGGAGGAGGCUGCUGAGACUAAUACUCUUGGAUAGUGGACGUUACUCGCAGAAUAAGCACCGGCUAACUCUGUGCCAGCAGCCGCAGUAAUAC
rnacentral:rRNA from 1 species